UACGAAGGGAGCUAGCGUUACUCGGAAUCACUGGGCGUAAAGCGCAUGUAGGCGGAAUUUUAAGUCAGGGGUGAAAGCCUGAGGCUCAACCUCAGAAUUGCCCUUGAAACUGAAAUUCUUGAACUUGACAGAGGAUAGUGGAAUUUCCAGUGUAGAGGUGAAAUUCGUAGAUAUUGGAAGGAACACCAGUGGCGAAGGCGGCUAUCUGGGUCAAUGUUGACGCUGAGAUGCGAAAGCGUGGGGAGCAAACAGG
rnacentral:rRNA from 1 species